rfam:Cyanophage P-TIM40, complete genome.
UUACACAUACUCCUCCCUUUAACCGAGACCUGUGGGGAGGUUAAGCAAGUCUCUAAUACCUUUAUCUGAGGGUGGUAAAGGAAUAAUCUAACAG